GGGUUGUGAGGUUAAGCGACUAAGCGUACACGGUGGAUGCCCUGGCAGUCAGAGGCGAUGAAGGGCGUGCUAAUCUGCGAUAAGCGCCGGUAAGGUGAUAUGAACCGUUAUAACCGGCGAUACCCGAAUGGGGAAACCCAGUGUGAUUCGUCACACUAUCAUUAACUGAAUCCAUAGGUUAAUGAGGCGAACCGGGGGAACUGAAACAUCUAAGUACCCCGAGGAAAAGAAAUCAACCGAGAUUCCCCCAGUAGCGGCGAGCGAACGGGGAGGAGCCCAGAGCCUGAAUCAGCAUGUGUGUUAGUGGAAGCGUCUGGAAAGGCGCGCGAUACAGGGUGACAGCCCCGUACACAAAAGCGCAUGUGCUGUGAGCUCGAUGAGUAGGGCGGGACACGUGGUAUCCUGUCUGAAUAUGGGGGGACCAUCCUCCAAGGCUAAAUACUCCUGACUGACCGAUAGUGAACCAGUACCGUGAGGGAAAGGCGAAAAGAACCCCGGCGAGGGGAGUGAAAAAGAACCUGAAACCGUGUACGUACAAGCAGUGGGAGCACCCUUUUGGGUGUGACUGCGUACCUUUUGUAUAAUGGGUCAGCGAAUUAUAUUGUGUAGCAAGAUUAACCGAAUCGGGGAGCCGGAGGGAAACCGAGUCUUAAUUGGGCGUUAAGUUGCAGGGUAUAGACCCGAAACCCGGUGAUCUAGCCAUGGGCAGGUUGAAGGUUGGGUAACACUAACUGGAGGACCGAACCGACUAAUGUUGAAAAAUUAGCGGAUGACCUGUGGCUGGGGGUGAAAGGCCAAUCAAACCGGGAGAUAGCUGGUUCUCCCCGAAAGCUAUUUAGGUAGCGCCUCGUGAAUUCAUCUCCGGGGGUAGAGCACUGUUUCGGCUAGGGGGCCAUCCCGGCUUACCAACCCGAUGCAAACUGCGAAUACCGGAGAAUGUUAUCACGGGAGACACACGGCGGGUGCUAACGUCCGUCGUGAAGAGGGAAACAACCCAGACCGCCAGCUAAGGUCCCAAAGUCAUGGUUAAGUGGGAAACGAUGUGGGAAGGCACAGACAGCCAGGAUGUUGGCUUAGAAGCAGCCAUCAUUUAAAGAAAGCGUAAUAGCUCACUGGUCGAGUCGGCCUGCGCGGAAGAUGUAACGGGGCUAAACCAUGCACCGAAGCUGCGGCAGCGACGUUUAUGCGUUGUUGGGUAGGGGAGCGUUCUGUAAGCCUGCGAAGGUGGCCUGUGAGGGUUGCUGGAGGUAUCAGAAGUGCGAAUGCUGACAUAAGUAACGAUAAAGCGGGUGAAAAGCCCGCUCGCCGGAAGACCAAGGGUUCCUGUCCAACGUUAAUCGGGGCAGGGUGAGUCGACCCCUAAGGCGAGGCCGAAAGGCGUAGUCGAUGGGAAACGGGUUAAUAUUCCCGUACUUGGUGUUACUGCGAAGGGGGGACGGAGAAGGCUAUGUUGGCCGGGCGACGGUUGUCCCGGUUUAAGCGUGUAGGCUGGUUUUCCAGGCAAAUCCGGAAAAUCAAGGCUGAGGCGUGACGACGAGGCACUACGGUGCUGAAGCAACAAAUGCCCUGCUUCCAGGAAAAGCCUCUAAGCAUCAGGUAACAUCAAAUCGUACCCCAAACCGACACAGGUGGUCAGGUAGAGAAUACCAAGGCGCUUGAGAGAACUCGGGUGAAGGAACUAGGCAAAAUGGUGCCGUAACUUCGGGAGAAGGCACGCUGACACGUAGGUGAAGUGAUUUACUCAUGGAGCUGAAGUCAGUCGAAGAUACCAGCUGGCUGCAACUGUUUAUUAAAAACACAGCACUGUGCAAACACGAAAGUGGACGUAUACGGUGUGACGCCUGCCCGGUGCCGGAAGGUUAAUUGAUGGGGUCAGCGCAAGCGAAGCUCCUGAUCGAAGCCCCGGUAAACGGCGGCCGUAACUAUAACGGUCCUAAGGUAGCGAAAUUCCUUGUCGGGUAAGUUCCGACCUGCACGAAUGGCGUAAUGAUGGCCAGGCUGUCUCCACCCGAGACUCAGUGAAAUUGAACUCGCUGUGAAGAUGCAGUGUACCCGCGGCAAGACGGAAAGACCCCGUGAACCUUUACUAUAGCUUGACACUGAACAUUGAGCCUUGAUGUGUAGGAUAGGUGGGAGGCUUUGAAGCGUGGACGCCAGUCUGCGUGGAGCCGACCUUGAAAUACCACCCUUUAAUGUUUGAUGUUCUAACGUGGACCCGUAAUCCGGGUUGCGGACAGUGUCUGGUGGGUAGUUUGACUGGGGCGGUCUCCUCCUAAAGAGUAACGGAGGAGCACGAAGGUUGGCUAAUCCUGGUCGGACAUCAGGAGGUUAGUUCAAUCGAAUAAGCCAGCUUGACUGCGAGCGUGAAGGCGCGAGCAGGUGCGAAAGCAGGUCAUAGUGAUCCGGUGGUUCUGAAUGGAAGGGCCAUCGCUCAACGGAUAAAAGGUACUCCGGGGAUAACAGGCUGAUACCGCCCAAGAGUUCAUAUCGACGGCGGUGUUUGGCACCUCGAUGUCGGCUCAUCACAUCCUGGGGCUGAAGUAGGUCCCAAGGGUAUGGCUGUUCGCCAUUUAAAGUGGUACGCGAGCUGGGUUUAGAACGUCGUGAGACAGUUCGGUCCCUAUCUGCCGUGGGCGCUGGAGAACUGAGGGGGGCUGCUCCUAGUACGAGAGGACCGGAGUGGACGCAUCACUGGUGUUCGGGUUGUCAUGCCAAUGGCACUGCCCGGUAGCUAAAUGCGGAAGAGAUAAGUGCUGAAAGCAUCUAAGCACGAAACUUGCCCCGAGAUGAGUUCUCCCUGAGACUUUAGGUCUCCUGAAGGAACGUUGAAGACGACGACGUUGAUAGGCCGGGUGUGUAAGCGCAGCGAUGCGUUGAGCUAACCGGUACUAAUGAACCGUGAGGCUUAACCUUACAACGCCGAAG
rnacentral:rRNA from 1 species